rnacentral:rRNA from 1 species
CAGCAGCCGCGGGAAUACGUAGGUGGCAAGCGUUGUCCGGAAUUAUUGGGCGUAAAGGGCUCGCAGGCGGUUUCUUAAGUCUGAUGUGAAAGCCCCCGGCUCAACCGGGGAGGGUCAUUGGAAACUGGGAAACUUGAGUGCAGAAGAGGAGAGUGGAAUUCCACGUGUAGCGGUGAAAUGCGUAGAGAUGUGGAGGAACACCGGUGGCGAAGGCGACUCUCUGGUCUGUAACUGACGCUGAGGAGCGAAAGCGUGGGGAGCGAACAGGAUUAGAGACCCCGGUAGUCCCUGUCUCUUAUAA